UAGACUGCAGAACCAAUUGGCUGACUUUGGGGCGACCAUCUUGCCCAGACACCACAUGCUGAAACACUUGGUCGGAAGGAUCAUUCCACCCCACUUUGAGUGGAUCAAAGAUGACAAGGCCCAAGUAGGGGCAAGUUUGAGCCUGGCCAGUUCAAUAUUGGGUGCUAACUGGAGUGGCUAAUGUCUAUGUUUUGUCACACGUAUUUUGCUCUGCUCAGAAUGGAAGAAGAUGGUUUUCCUUUGUGUUGCGGUUUGGCCCCCAGGGCUGUGGUGUGGCGAGCCAAGUCACUAGGGCUGCCCAAGGAAAGGGAACACAGAAGCCUGGCGUGCUGGCAAAAGGGUGGGAAUUUCUUACCAGUCAGGCUUUGGGCCUCCCUGUGUGCAUAACUGGUUGAAUAAAUGGCAAAAAUAACUGUUCAUCCCCUCUGUAAAGUUUUGAUUAAUGGGAAAAGAAUUUGUGAGGUACGUCUGAAGCUGUAGCAAAUCUGGUGUACUUUGUGCUAUAAAUUUAUCUUCCUGUAUUGUACUGCCAUAAAGAGGAGUACCUUAGGAUAGAACAUGGGCUUAGGACCCCAUAAGCCCACUGUUAAAGCCAGCCUGGCAAGUUGGUCAGUAACAAACUUUGCUGCAGGUCCCUGAAACAAACAAGCAAAAACAACUGAAUGAAGUUUCCUUCUCGUCUUGUUUUAUGUCCUUGGAAGCUUGAGCUUGUGACCAUAUGGCAGUACUUUCUUUUAGUCUCUGCUUAUCCAGAGGACAGGAAUUUAGGGGUUCAUGUUGUAGUUAGCCCCAAAAAUUACCUCAAGCAGUUAAAAGCCUUUGCAAGCUCAAAAUUGGCUGCUCUAGACUCCCUCUGGGAAGAGCAAUGGAAAUUGCCCAGUGCUGUGGCUUAGUAGCUAAGGCUUUGUCUUUUCACAAUGACGGCCUGGGUUCAGGGUUCAAUUCCCAGCUUAGGGAAUGGGUCCUUUCUGGCUUAAUAUCUGUGUGACCUUUACCAUUUGUUGAUUCUCUUCUCCUCCAUGAACUACUUCUGGCUUCAUUUCUUGAAUCUUCCUUUCUCUGAGCUACCUGUGGAGAUUCUAAAUCUUGUAAAAACUGCUAACCACCUCUUUGAAAAGAACUUGUCCAUUCAUGGUCAAAUCAUAACCUUAGUUAAGCCUUAUUGGUUUCACCUGUGAGUUUAUUUUUGGUAAAGUUUAAAAGCCAGAAAUAUUGGCUGUUUUGCCCAGCUAAAGUAGGGUGUAUUUGUCUGGUUUUACACUGAUAUAAAGAACUUCCCUGAGACUGGGUAAUUUAUAAAGGAAAGAGCUUUAAUUGACUCACAGUUUGGCAUGGCUUCAGAGGCCUCAGGAAACUUACAAUCAUGGCAGAAGGCAAAAGGGAAGCAAGGAACCUUCUUCACAUGGCAGCAGGAGAGAAUGCAGGAGGAACUGCCAAACACUUUUAAAGCAUCAGAUCUUGUGAGAACUUACCGUCAUGAGAACAGCAUGAUCCAAUCACCCACCACUAGGUCCCUCACUCAACACAUGGGGAUUAAAAUUCAAGAUGAGAAUUGGGUGGCAACAUAGAGCCAAAACAUCUCAUAGGAUAGUAAUAAGAGAUUUAAAAGGAUUUUAUUUUUUAAGGAGUACUACGGUUAAAAGUCAGCUCAAUUAAAAGCAGAUAUUCAAGCUAUAGGUAUAUUUUAAAGGCCUUUAUGUUUUAUUCUCUUCUUGGAUUGUGUUUUUCUGGAAAAAAGGUUUUUUUCUUUUCUUCUCAGUAGACUUAAUUGUUUUUCUCCAUUUUGUCUUCUUGCUACUCUUGAUGCACACAUGAGAGGACCUAAGAUAAUACAACCUGGGACUCCUUGGGAAAAACAGAAGAGGGGCCACAGACUGCGUUUUGGGAAAAACGUCUAUUUUCCUCAUGAAACCCCAGGGAUUAAAAGCAGACAGAUCCCUCUUAAAAUCUAAGGCUCUGUUCUGUUUUGCUUUGCUUUAUCUGACGUUUUUUGACUUUUUAGGGGUAUCAGAAAUUACUUCGCAGUAUGUGAGAAUUUUGAUUUAUAAUAACUAGGUAGGAAAUAUACUUUUAGGGGUGGCUAAUGGCAGUCAUGAGAGGAUACUUGGCUCUUUGCACAUUUGGAUUGGGAGAAGCAUGCUCUUGGCCAUCUGGAAGGUAUGGAAAAGUCUCCACCCCUCCACUGAGAGAUAAGGCUCCCAUCAGGGUGGGCUAAUCACAAAAUGAGUUGAUUGGUUUUGGGUUGCCUUGCAAUAAAAUGCAUGGUAAAAUCUUUGCAUUGUCUUGUUCUGUAGUGUCCUUUUGGGAUUCAAGAUGUAAUAUAAAAAUGGGAUCCUUAAUUUUGGGAGAUCUGUUUUGUCUUCCAGCUGUGCCAC
ensembl:lncRNA novel transcript, antisense to JAKMIP2